rnacentral:rRNA from 1 species
CACCGGCGGCUCGAGUGGUGGCCACUUUUAUUGGGUCUAAAACGUCCGUAGCCGGCUUGGCAAGUCCCCUGGGAAAUCUGGCGGCUUAACCGUCAGGCGUCCAGAGGAUACUGCCAGGCUUGGGACCGGGAGAGGUGAGAGGUACCUCAGGGGUAGGGGUGAAAUCUUGUGAUACCUGAGGGACCACCAGUGGCGAAGGCGUCUCACUAGAACGGGUCUGACGGUCAGGGACGAAAGCUGGGGGCACGAACCGG